UACGAAGGGGGCUAGCGUUGCUCGGAAUUACUGGGCGUAAAGCGCACGUAGGCGGUCUUUUAAGUCGGGGGUGAAAUCCUGGAGCUCAACUCCAGAACUGCCUUCGAUACUGGAGACUUGAGUCCGGGAGAGGUCGAGUGGAACUGCGAGUGUAGAGGUGAAAUUCGUAGAUAUUCGCAAGAACACCAGUGGCGAAGGCGGACUCGCUGGCCCGUACUGACGCUGAGGUGCGAAAGCGUGGGGAGCAACAGG
rnacentral:rRNA from 1 species